UACGUAGGGUGCAAGCGUUCAUCGGAAUUACUGGGCGUAAAGCGUGCGCAGGCGGUUUUGUAAGUUUGUCGUGAAAGCCCCGGGCUCAACCUGGGAAUGGCGAUGAAGACUGCAAGGCUUGAAUCUGGCAGAGGGGGGUAGAAUUCCACGUGUAGCAGUGAAAUGCGUAGAGAUGUGGAGGAACACCGAUGGCGAAGGCAGCCCCCUGGGUCAAGAUUGACGCUCAUGCACGAAAGCGUGGGGAGCAAACAGG
rnacentral:rRNA from 1 species